rnacentral:rRNA from 1 species
GAUGAACGCUGGCGGCGUGCCUAAUACAUGCAAGUCGAGCGAACAGAUGAUGAGCUUGCUCCUCUGACGUUAGCGGCGGACGGGUGAGUAACACGUGGAUAACCUACCUCUAAUACUGGGAUAACUUCGGGAAACCGGAUCUAAUACCGGAUAAUAUAUUGAACCGCAUGGUUCAAUAGUGAAAGACGGUUUUGCUGUCACUUAUAGAUGGAUCCGCGCCGCAUUAGCUAGUUGGUAAGGUAACGGCUUACCAAGGCAACGAUGCGUAGCCGACCUGAGAGGGUGAUCGGCCACACUGGAACUGAGACACGGUCCAGACUCCUACGGGAGGCAGCAGUAGGGAAUCUUCGGCAAUGGGCGAAAGCCUGACGGAGCAACGCCGCGUGAGUGAUGAAGGUCUUCGGAUCGUAAAACUCUGUUAUUAGGGAAGAACAAAUGUGUAAGUAAAUAUGCACGUCUUGACGGUACCUAAACAGAAAGCCACGGCUAACUACGUG